CCCUUAGAUGUUCUGGGCCGCACGCGCACUACACUGAUGCAUUCAACGAGCCUAUCCUUGACCGACAGGUCCGGGUAAUCUUUGAAUCUGCAUCGUGACGGGGAUAGAUUAUUGCAAUUAUUAAUCUUCAACGAGGAAUGCCUAGUAGGCGCAAGUCAUCAGCUUGCGUCGAUUACGUCCCUGCCCUUUGUACACACCGCCCGUCGCUCCUACCGAUUGGGUGUGCUGGUGAAAUGUUCGGAUCGGCCGUUUGUCGCGGUUUCCGCGUCAUGUGACUGAGAAGUUCAUUAAACCCUCCCACCUAGAGGAAGGAGAAGUCGUAACA
rnacentral:rRNA from 1 species